AUGUCGACGGCAGGGACAAAGGUUCCAGUGAAAGCAGUUGCACAAGUAGUACCGGUUUUCUCUAUGUCAUGCUUUAAGCUUCCAAGGGGUCUAUGUGAACACUUAAAUCCGAUGAUCAGAAAAUUUUGGUGGGGAUGCACGGGCGGAAAGCGGAAGCCAUACUGGGUGUCAUGGAAGACAAUGACCCAACCGAAAGGCAUGGACGAUCUAGGCUUCAAAUAUUUUGAACUUUUUAAUAUGGCCAUGCUCACCGAGCAGGAGUGGUGUCUAUUGCGAAACCCUGAUUCUUUGAGUGCUCGGCUGCUCAAAAGUGUGUACUACCCCAACACUUCAAUCUUGGAAGCAGCUUUAGGAGGACACCCAACGUACAAGAUGUUAGUUUCUACGCGACAGAGGAGAGAAGCCUGGCUCGAGGGUUCGUCAGGCACGUCAAGUGCUGCGCAAGAAGAGGGUUCAUGGAAGGGCGUGUCGAAAAUGCAAGUUCCAGUGAAAAUACAUAUGUUCUUAUGGAGGAUCUCAAAACGCUCUAUACCGACCGAAGACGUUCGAGCGCACCGGCACAUGACUAAUAACAGCUACUGCGGUUUCUGUGGAUCCCCUGACUCAUGGAGGCAUUCUAUUGAGAAAUGCACCACUUCCAGAUGCACCUGGGCUUUAGUUGACGAUGAGUUGGCACAGAAACUAAUAUCCAUCGCCGAACCUAAUGCUAAGAAGUGGCUAUUCAGUCUAAUGGACUCACUAUCGCACGAUCAGUUUGUGCUUCUUUCAGUGACUUUAUGGGCGAUUUGGUCAGCUCAACGCAAAGCCAUUAAUGAAGGAAUUUUCCAUACCCCACAAGAACCACAACGACCAAAGGCCCCUCUGGUUGGAUACGCCAAGAUACACGUAGAUGCGAGCGUCAGAAAGGGAGAGGUGUUUCGGGAUCUGCCAUUUGCCGUGACAGCAACGAUCAGUAUAUGGGCAGAUCAGUGCUGGUAA
rnacentral:rRNA from 1 species